rnacentral:piRNA from 1 species
AUUAGAACUCUAAACUUAGACUGU